CCACUUUGGAGAACUGUUGGAGUUUCGUUUUCUUUGAGGUUGAACAUGCACCUGCGGUACGAUCCAGGUGUUCCACUCCUACACGGACAGGCACAAGGAAAGCCCUGCCUCCCAGAAGGCCGUGUGCUGCGGGCCGUGUUCUCCCCGCCGUCUCCUGGCUGGAAGUCCCAGAUCAAGGCUGCUGUGCCUCUGUUUUCCACUGAGGCCUCCGGCUAGAGCUGGCAUGCGUCUUCUGGUCCUUCUGUGUGCGCCUGUGUCCCACCCCAUCCGAUCACGAGGGCAUCAUCAUCGGGCGAGGCCCUGCCCAUCAUAGCCCCAUCUUAACUUAGUUACCUUCCGGCCUCCGAAUGCAGCCAGGUUCCAGGGUGCUGGGUUAGGGCUUGGAGGGAAAUGUUCUAAACUCUGGCAGUUCAAGGCCAGAGCAUAAAUGCAGGCAUAGACUCUGGUAGGAUUGAGAUGUCAUGAGAGGAUCCUGCGCAUUUCUUUCUUCGGGUCCCCAUGGGGCUUUGAGAGCUUGCUUGGGGACCUGCACACCCUCCGCAGGGCGGACGUCAGCUUCCUCCUCCUCCUCCUCCUCCUCCCCCUCCUCCUUCUCCCUCUCAUCCUCUCCAGGGUGAUCAAGGGCUUUGAGCCUCAGUCCCGCAGGAGCCAUACUGAUCCCGCCUCGGGAUUUCCGGAUGCCUGGAAGGUGGCAGCAUUGCGUGUGGCAGAGGGAGGAUUCCUUCUGGGCUCCCAGUGGCUUCUGAGGGAGCCCUAGUGUCACUCAUCAACCGUCUGCAGUGACAGCAGCGGCCAAAUUCGGGACCAGUGCUUGCCAGGCAGGCGCUGUGCAGCUGAGCUCAUCUCCAGCCCCAGCUCUAUCUCCAGCCUCCCGGGGAAGCACUUUAAAGGCGGCAGCACCACAUUUUCCCAGAAGCUUAUUUGGAUCUCAGUUUUGGAGGACAGUCAGCGUGGACGGUCCAUGGACGAAUCCACUGGAAAAUGUUCGGCAAAAGGUGAUGAAGAGACUCUUGGGGGCAGGCAAAGAAAGUCAGACUCAACCCAAAACAAAACUCGAGAACCCCUGGCGUUGUCCUGCAUGUGGAAGGACAGGCACCACCUGGCUCUGCUUCCCACGGCUCGGAAAGCCCCGUUGGAGACAGAUUGCCGACCGACUGUCCGCUGCUCGGCUCUGCUGCUUCUCAACACGUUGUCUGCUGGGGAGACAGAGUCUGUCCAAGCCAACCCUCCAGCCUAGAGGUGAAGCUCAGGCAGCUCUUUGGCUUGGUCUUUGGGCUACACGCUGCGGACCCUGCCCUGUGCUCUGCUCCAGCUCUGCCACUGCCUGCGACUGUCCCUCUGCCCAUCUGGAAGGCCGUGACUUCCGGAGCUGCCCGCUGAACUCUGGGUUCUCCCAGCAAGUCUGGGGGAGGAAAGAUCCUGGCUAUGGCACCGCUCCCGUCUCCCCACUGUGCCAUGGUGAGCGCCCUCUGUCUUCAGGGCAUGUGAUAAAAGCUCAAUAAAUCAUUGCAUUUGGA